GAUGAACGCUAGCUACAGGCUUAACACAUGCAAGUCGAGGGGCAGCAUAAAAUCAGCUUGCUGAUUUGAUGGCGACCGGCGCACGGGUGAGUAACACGUAUCCAACCUGGCCUUUACUCAGGGAUAGCCUUUCGAAAGAAAGAUUAAUACCUGAUGGCAUAAAUUGACCGCAUGGUUGAUUUAUUAAAGAUUUAUUGGUAAAGGAUGGGGAUGCGUUCCAUUAGCUUGUUGGUAAGGUAACGGCUUACCAAGGCAUCGAUGGAUAGGGGUUCUGAGAGGAAGGUCCCCCACACUGGAACUGAGACACGGUCCAGACUCCUACGGGAGGCAGCAGUGAGGAAUAUUGGUCAAUGGACGCAAGUCUGAACCAGCCAUGCCGCGUGCAGGAUGACGGCUCUACGAGUUGUAAACUGCUUUUGUAUAGGGGUAAAUGCAGAUACGUGUAUCUGUUUGAAAGUACUAUACGAAUAAGGAUCGGCUAACUCCGUGCCAGCAGCCGCGGUAACAC
rnacentral:rRNA from 1 species